rnacentral:rRNA from 1 species
GACGAACGCUGGCGGCGUGCUUAACACAUGCAAGUCGAACGGAAAGGCCCUUCGGGGUACUCGAGUGGCGAACGGGUGAGUAACACGUGGGUGAUCUGCCCUGCACUUUGGGAUAAGCCUGGGAAACUGGGUCUAAUACCGAAUAUGAUCAUCGGCUUCAUGGUCGGUGGUGGAAAGCUUUUGCGGUGUGGGAUGGGCCCGCGGCCUAUCAGCUUGUUGGUGGGGUAAUGGCCUACCAAGGCGACGACGGGUAGCCGGCCUGAGAGGGUGACCGGCCACACUGGGACUGAGAGACGGCCCAGACUCCUACGGGAGGCAGCAGUGGGGAAUAUUGCACAAUGGGCGCAAGCCUGAUGCAGAGACGCCGCGUGAGGGAUGACGGCCUUCGGGUUGUAAACCUCUUUCAGCACAGACGAAGCGCAAGUGACGGUAUGUGCAGAAGAAGGACCGGCCAACUACGUG